UACAGAGGGUGCGAGCGUUAAUCGGAAUUACUGGGCGUAAAGCGCGCGUAGGCGGCCUUGCAAGCCGGAUGUGAAAUCCCCGGGCUUAACCUGGGAACUGCAUUCGAGACUGCAUUGCUAGAGUAUGGGAGAGGGGAGUGGAAUUUCAGGUGUAGCGGUGAAAUGCGUAGAUAUCUGAAGGAACAUCAGUGGCGAAAGCGACUUCCUGGACCAAUACUGACGCUCAUGUGCGAAAGCGUGGGGAGCAAACAGG
rnacentral:rRNA from 1 species